GACGAACGCUGGCGGCGUGCUUAACACAUGCAAGUCGAACGGAAAGGCCCUGCUUUUGUGGGGUGCUCGAGUGGCGAACGGGUGAGUAACACGUGAGUAACCUGCCCUUGACUUUGGGAUAACUUCAGGAAACUGGGGCUAAUACCGGAUAGGAGCUUCUGCUGCAUGGUGGGGGUAGGAAAGUUUCGGCGGUUGGGGAUGGACUCGCGGCUUAUCAGCUUGUUGGGGGGGUAGUGGCUUACCAAGGCUUUGACGGGUAGCCGGCCUGAGAGGGUGGCCGGCCACAAGAGGACUGAGGUAGGGCGCAGACGCCAACGGGAGGCAGCGGGGGGAAGUAUGACACAAUAGGGGGAAGCGUGUGGCGAAGGCGCCGGGUGCGGAAAGACGGCCUACGGGGGGUAAACCGCUUUCGCCGGUGACGAAGCGUGAGUGACGGUAAUGAGUAAAGAAGCACCGGCUAACUACGUG
rnacentral:rRNA from 1 species